GGGAAUGGGACUCAGUGGCUGCUGUGGGAAGAAGAAACAGUCAAUGCCCUGAGGAGCUGCCCAUGAGAAACACCAAGAAGGCUUUGAGCUCAUGAGCAGCAGCUGCUAAAGAAAUGUUCAGCACUUCUUGGACACAGGAUUUCAGAAGUGUGAAUGUGUAACUCUGGCUGAGUAUUGCCUGUGUCCUUUAGAGGACAAAACACAGCUCUUUGUGGAAACAUUAAGGCAGAAAAGCCAUCUCCUGUCAGGAAGAUCUAAAGUCUCUACAUGCAAGCACCAAGUCCCUGCAGAGCAGGGGUUUCACAUACUGCAUUGUGAGCCAGGCACAAUCAAGAAAAUGUGAAGAUUUGGGAAUUAACUGAUGAUGGGAAUGCCAGCUCUUCCUUGCUAUCCAGCUUCCAGAUGUGGCUGCCUUCCAGGGAUGGCUCAGCACUCGCCUCACAUCUCUGCAGGGUGUUCUGAGCCUGUGGGCAGCACAGGAAAUGCCUUUUCCUGCUCUGCUGUUCCUCUGAUGAUAAGCAGCAGCAGCAGUGUGCCUCCUGACAGGCACAGGGCACUCCAAGCAUGGCUGGAAAGGAAUUACAGCACAGGGCUCUGCAGCAGCUCAGCUGCCACAAUUAAGGCAGAAAACCAGUCAUGCUGGCCUUGGUGGUUUUGUGUUGCUCCUUUUAAUUUCUGUGUGUGCAACAAAAUGAGCCUUAACAAACAAGCCAGAGCUUUUCAUUUUAGAGGUAUUACACUUUUUCAGUGGUGAGACCUUCUUGUUAUUGAUGUUUGGUUCAAGUCAGCAUCUUAGCUGGACAGCAAAAAAUGCAAUGCUACCAUGUAUUUGAAAUUAUUUCUUCAAAGUUAUAAUGUACUUGUAGAGUGACUGGUGUUAAGGAAAAGUCAGUGAAAAGAUACAAAAAUCUUCUAAACAUUCAGACAUACACAUGCACACUCAUGCCUUUUUAUUAUUCAGGUGAUUUAGGAUUGUGUAGAGAACUAAAUUGAAAGAAUCUCUCUAGUUUAGAAACUAGAUAUCCCUGGUUUAGAAAUAAUCUUCCAGGGGAAAAACUCAUCUGAAACAAGUCUUGACUUUUUGUGCCUGGACAAAUGAGAAAAAAGUGAAAAAUACAUAGUUCUUGCUUUAUUACACAGAUAUUCCAGAUGAGUGUAAAUUAUUUUGUGAGACUUUCUGU